rnacentral:rRNA from 1 species
UACGUAGGGGGCUAGCGUUGUCCGGAUUUAUUGGGCGUAAAGAGCGUGUAGGCGGCCAAGUAGGUCCGGUGUGAAAACUCGAGGCUUAACCUCGAGAUGUCAUCGGAAACCAUUUGGCUAGAGUCCGGAAGAGGAAAGUGGAAUUCCUGGUGUAGCGGUGAAAUGCGCAGAUAUCUGGAGGAACACCGGUGGCGAAGGCGGCAUCCUGGACCAAAUCUGACACUGAGGAGCGAAAGCCAGGGGAGCAAACGGG